UCUGUUUCAUUCAAAUUUCUAGGUCACUAAAGUCCUUCAGAAAAUGAAACAAAGAUCUGCAAAUUCAAAAUAAGAACAAAUUUCAGAUGCAUUACCGACUUCCUGAGUUCGAACCCCAGCGAUGCAGAGCAAUAACCCUAGCAAAAGCAGCGCUUUUCUCAUUGCAGGUCUCACAAAAGAAUAUCUGUGAAGGAAACUCAGUGUGGCGAACCAGGUUUAAAUAAUAUCUUGUUCGGUACAGUAUUCAACAGUGAAUUAGUAAUACGAAGGGAAGGAGUCUUGGCGCGAAAGUCUUGUAAACGAUGUCAUGAGCUCCAGAAAAUGUAAGGUCAGGCUUCAAAUUUUCUUUCUGUGAGAAAACCCUGAUUUUGCAUUUAUUAUUUUCUGAGCAGAUCGCGGAAACAGUCAAGUUUGUAGAGUUGAAUUAUGUUUUUCAAGAGUUUUAGGUCGGGUUAGGUGGCCAUUUUUCCACCAUGCGAUCCUCCAUUUCACAGGUGUAAAUCUUCUGGAAACUGAUGACCAUAAAUCUGUCCAAGGAGCAGUUUCAAUGUAUUUUUGUUGAUUA